rnacentral:lncRNA from 1 species
AGUUACCAAUGAGGAUUGGUGCACCUCCGGUAGUCUGAGCUGGGCUCUGAAGAACCAGGCUGGCCCUACAUCUCUGAACUCAUGGAGAGGCUGGGGCAUACAUGACCCUGGAGCUUUUAUCAUGUCUAUCCUGUCACAUCGUAAGUCAGACUCAAAGCAUCAAUCACGUCACAGCCCUGGGGUACAGAAGCCACGCAGUUGGAGGAAACUAGCCUGAAUGACACCAGGAAAGGAAAGAGAUGGACUGUUCCAGACACCACCUUCAUAGAUGUUCCAGAAGAAACAAGGCAAUUUUAAUUCGUCUUUAGAGGCAGCCGCAGAGGCUUAUCACGGUAUAGUACCUGAAGAACGGGGAUACAGGGGUGGCCAUCCGGCUCAGUGAUGCUCUCAUUGUUCUUCACGUUGCUGCAUGAGGGAAUACAUGGCAAGCAGGGAGUUGUAAAACUUCCGCUACCCUUCCUCUGCCAGAGAAAGCAGUUAGCAGGAUGUGUUAAACCAGCAGUUUACAACUGGGAGUCAAGGAAGCAGGGCAAUGGAGAGAGGCAAGAUGGCACCGUGGUUGGUGAGAGAAGACUCUGUGACACGAGGAUUGUGACAAUGCAAAAUAGCCGCAUGGGGUGGACUUAUCAAUUGCUGGCAAUAUUACGCACACAAAUACCCAUUGCCUCAGCAAGUGUGCCUCUCAGAAACCGUUUCCAAGGAUGGACUGGCAAACUGACUCUGAAUUGUGUUUUGCCUUAGUACAGGUACUUUCAGCAGGCUACCAAUGAGCUACAUUCAAUAUUUUGAUUGUAGUUACAUAAUAGUGUAAGAGAAGAGGCACAAAUAUCUGUCAGCUUGGUUGAAUAAACUGUGGUACAAACACA